rnacentral:rRNA from 1 species
UACGGGGGGGGCAAGCGUUGUUCGGAAUUACUGGGCGUAAAGGGCCAGUAGGCGGCCAACUAAGUCCGACGUGAAAUCCCAAGGCUUAACCUUGGAACUGCGUCGGAUACUGGAUGGCUUAAUUCGGGAGAGGGAUGCAGAAUUCCAGGUGUAGCGGUGAAAUGCGUAGAUAUCGGGAGGAACACCUGAGGCGAAGGCGGGCUACUGGGCCGAUACUGACGCUGAUGCGCGAAAGCCAGGGGAGCGGAACGGG